GUCCUUUUCUAGUUAUUAAGCAGGAUGAUUGGGUGACUUGUGUGACACUUGUGUGACAUAUGCCUUCCUCAAAUCUUGUUAUGAUGUGGGCACAUUACCCAUCUGACA